UACAGAGGGUGCAAGCGUUGUUCGGAAUUAUUGGGCGUAAAGCGCGUGUAGGCGGCCCGGUAAGUCCGCUGUGAAAGUCGGGGGCUCAACCCUCGAAUGCCGGUGGAUACUGUCGGGCUAGAGUGCGGAAGAGGCGAGUGGAAUUCCUGGUGUAGCGGUGAAAUGCGCAGAUAUCAGGAGGAACACCAAUUGCGAAGGCAGCUCGCUGGGACGUUACUGACGCUGAGACGCGAAAGCGUGGGGAGCAAACAGG
rnacentral:rRNA from 1 species